rnacentral:RNase_P_RNA from 1 species
AAAGAUGGGUACGCAACCGCUUUACAGCUUUAGAUUGGUAUGUAAAGAGGAAAGUCCGAACUUUAACAUUAGGAAACUAAUGUAGAACGGUAGCAGGUAAUUCCUGUCGCUCGUAAGGGCAGAGGUGCGAACAGAGACGCUCUAUUUAGAAAUAAAAGGGUAUCCUCUUAUUAAGAGGAUAAGUUUUUGCAGAAAUGCAAAAAGUGAAACGGCUAAAUCCUUACUGGAAAGCAAGGCUGAAGUAUAGCUGCUUGACUGCUAAAAGUGAUUUUAGCAGCAGAGAAAUGGUUGCGCUUUCUUAUUUGAAAGACAGAAUUCGGUGUAUAAUCCAUCUUUGCAA